AUUGAACGCUGGCGGCAUGCCUUACACAUGCAAGUCGAACGGCAGCACGGGCUUCGGUCUGGUGGCGAGUGGCGAACGGGUGAGUAAUGUAUCGGAACGUACCUUUCAGUGGGGGAUAACGUAGCGAAAGUUACGCUAAUACCGCAUAUUCUGUGAGCAGGAAAGCAGGGGAUCGCAAGACCUUGCGCUGAUUGAGCGGCCGAUAUCAGAUUAGCUAGUUGGUGGGGUAAAGGCCUACCAAGGCGACGAUCCGUAGCGGGUCUGAGAGGAUGAUCCGCCACACUGGAACUGAGACACGGUCCAGACUCCUACGGGAGGCAGCAGUGGGGAAUUUUGGACAAUGGGGGCAACCCUGAUCCAGCCAUGCCGCGUGAGUGAAGAAGGCCUUCGGGUUGUAAAGCUCUUUCAGCCGGGAAGAAAUCGCAUCAGCUAAUACCUGGUGUGGAUGACGGUACCGGAAUAAGAAGCACCGGCUAACUACGUG
rnacentral:rRNA from 1 species